rnacentral:rRNA from 1 species
UACAGAGGUCUCAAGCGUUGUUCGGAUUCAUUGGGCGUAAAGGGUGCGUAGGCGGCGCGGUAAGUCGGGUGUGAAAUCUUGGAGCUUAACUCCGAAACUGCAUUCGAUACUGCCGUGCUUGAGGACUGGAGAGGAGACUGGAAAUUUACGGUGUAGCGGUGAAAUGCGUAGAUAUCGUAAGGAAGACCAGUGGCGAAGGCGGGUCUCUGGACAGUUCCUGACGCUGGAGGCACGAAGGUCAGGGGAGCAAACGGG